rnacentral:piRNA from 1 species
UGCCUCUGUCAAUAGUCAACUCAAAGGU